rnacentral:lncRNA from 1 species
UUUGUUUAAAACCCUUCUCCCAUGCCAAAAGGAGAAGUGAUGACAUUGUUGGCAACAUUUAAUACAAUGAUGUUUUCAUUCAAUUAAUGCAUUGUCAAACAUUUGUUUUUCCAUUUGUUUUCACUUUUUGCUUUUUUGCAUGAAAUCAGUGAUCACAAAAAACCAUGAAAAACAAAAACAACAUUUUUCAUCUGCAUAAAUGAUUUGCUU